rnacentral:rRNA from 1 species
GUGAGGAAUAUUGGUCAAUGGUCGCAAGACUGAACCAGCCAUGCCGCGUGCAGGAAGACGGUCCUAUGGAUUGUAAACUGCUUUUAUACAGGAAGAAACCCUCCCACGUGUGGGAGCUUGACGGUACUGUAGGAAUAAGGAUCGGCUAACUCCGUGCCAGCAGCCGCGGUAAUACGGAGGAUCCAAGCGUUAUCCGGAAUCAUUGGGUUUAAAGGGUCCGUAGGCGGUCUUAUAAGUCAGUGGUGAAAGCCCAUCGCUCAACGAUGGAACUGCCAUUGAUACUGUAGGACUUGAAUGCUUAGGAAGUAACUAGAAUAUGUAGUGUAGCGGUGAAAUGCUUAGAUAUUACAUGGAAUACCAAUUGCGAAGGCAGGUUACUACUAAGUGAUUGACGCUGAUGGACGAAAGCGUGGGGAGCGAACAGGAUUAGAAACCCGUGUAGUCC